UGAGGAGACGCUCCACGUCGAAGGGAGCCAAUUGAAGGCAUGGCUCUGAAGGGCGGGCUUAGGAAAGCCUCGAGCUCUGCAGUGCUAAAGAAUGGGGUUUGGCCCCGCUUUAACGCCAAGGUCUCAGGAUUCCAUAAGGUGGAGUCAUGGCAGUUAAAAUUCUCUGUCCAGGGUGACCAGAUGUCGUAACCACAAAGGAGGUCAAGAUGCUGCAGAAGAAUCAUAAAGAUAUAAGGCGACUUGAAGGUUUUGACAAGCCAUAAAUCUGAUCUGGACUCAGUUCUGCAAUCCAAGUGUGACUCCCUACCUUCUUGAUGCUCAGCAGUAGAGGACUCACCC